GGUUAAGCGACUAAGCGUACACGGUGGAUGCCCUGGCAGUCAGAGGCGAUGAAGGACGUGCUAAUCUGCGAUAAGCGUCGGUAAGGUGAUAUGAACCGUUAUAACCGGCGAUUUCCGAAUGGGGAAACCCAGUGUGAUUCGUCACACUAUCAUUAACUGAAUCCAUAGGUUAAUGAGGCGAACCGGGGGAACUGAAACAUCUAAGUACCCCGAGGAAAAGAAAUCAACCGAGAUUCCCCCAGUAGCGGCGAGCGAACGGGGAGCAGCCCAGAGCCUGAAUCAGUGUGUGUGUUAGUGGAAGCGUCUGGAAAGGCGCGCGAUACAGGGUGACAGCCCCGUACACAAAAAUGCACAUAUUGUGAGCUCGAUGAGUAGGGCGGGACACGUGGUAUCCUGUCUGAAUAUGGGGGGACCAUCCUCCAAGGCUAAAUACUCCUGACUGACCGAUAGUGAACCAGUACCGUGAGGGAAAGGCGAAAAGAACCCCGGCGAGGGGAGUGAAAAAGAACCUGAAACCGUGUACGUACAAGCAGUGGGAGCACGCUUAGGCGUGUGACUGCGUACCUUUUGUAUAAUGGGUCAGCGACUUAUAUUCUGUAGCAAGGUUAACCGAAUAGGGGAGCCGAAGGGAAACCGAGUCUUAACUGGGCGUUAAGUUGCAGGGUAUAGACCCGAAACCCGGUGAUCUAGCCAUGGGCAGGUUGAAGGUUGGGUAACACUAACUGGAGGACCGAACCGACUAAUGUUGAAAAAUUAGCGGAUGACUUGUGGCUGGGGGUGAAAGGCCAAUCAAACCGGGAGAUAGCUGGUUCUCCCCGAAAGCUAUUUAGGUAGCGCCUCGUGAAUUCAUCUCCGGGGGUAGAGCACUGUUUCGGCAAGGGGGUCAUCCCGACUUACCAACCCGAUGCAAACUGCGAAUACCGGAGAAUGUUAUCACGGGAGACACACGGCGGGUGCUAACGUCCGUCGUGAAGAGGGAAACAACCCAGACCGCCAGCUAAGGUCCCAAAGUCAUGGUUAAGUGGGAAACGAUGUGGGAAGGCCCAGACAGCCAGGAUGUUGGCUUAGAAGCAGCCAUCAUUUAAAGAAAGCGUAAUAGCUCACUGGUCGAGUCGGCCUGCGCGGAAGAUGUAACGGGGCUAAACCAUGCACCGAAGCUGCGGCAGCGACGCUGAUGCGUUGUUGGGUAGGGGAGCGUUCUGUAAGCCUGCGAAGGUGUGCUGUGAGGCAUGCUGGAGGUAUCAGAAGUGCGAAUGCUGACAUAAGUAACGAUAAAGCGGGUGAAAAGCCCGCUCGCCGGAAGACCAAGGGUUCCUGUCCAACGUUAAUCGGGGCAGGGUGAGUCGACCCCUAAGGCGAGGCCGAAAGGCGUAGUCGAUGGGAAACAGGUUAAUAUUCCUGUACUUGGUGUUACUGCGAAGGGGGGACGGAGAAGGCUAUGUUGGCCGGGCGACGGUUGUCCCGGUUUAAGCGUGUAGGCUGGUUUUCCAGGCAAAUCCGGAAAAUCAAGGCUGAGGCGUGAUGACGAGGCACUACGGUGCUGAAGCAACAAAUGCCCUGCUUCCAGGAAAAGCCUCUAAGCAUCAGGUAACAUCAAAUCGUACCCCAAACCGACACAGGUGGUCAGGUAGAGAAUACCAAGGCGCUUGAGAGAACUCGGGUGAAGGAACUAGGCAAAAUGGUGCCGUAACUUCGGGAGAAGGCACGCUGAUAUGUAGGUGAAGUCCCUUGCGGAUGGAGCUGAAAUCAGUCGAAGAUACCAGCUGGCUGCAACUGUUUAUUAAAAACACAGCACUGUGCAAACACGAAAGUGGACGUAUACGGUGUGACGCCUGCCCGGUGCCGGAAGGUUAAUUGAUGGGGUCAGCGCAAGCGAAGCUCUUGAUCGAAGCCCCGGUAAACGGCGGCCGUAACUAUAACGGUCCUAAGGUAGCGAAAUUCCUUGUCGGGUAAGUUCCGACCUGCACGAAUGGCGUAAUGAUGGCCAGGCUGUCUCCACCCGAGACUCAGUGAAAUUGAACUCGCUGUGAAGAUGCAGUGUACCCGCGGCAAGACGGAAAGACCCCGUGAACCUUUACUAUAGCUUGACACUGAACAUUGAGCCUUGAUGUGUAGGAUAGGUGGGAGGCUUUGAAGUGUGGACGCCAGUCUGCAUGGAGCCGACCUUGAAAUACCACCCUUUAAUGUUUGAUGUUCUAACGUUGACCCGUAAUCCGGGUUGCGGACAGUGUCUGGUGGGUAGUUUGACUGGGGCGGUCUCCUCCUAAAGAGUAACGGAGGAGCACGAAGGUUGGCUAAUCCUGGUCGGACAUCAGGAGGUUAGUGCAAUGGCAUAAGCCAGCUUGACUGCGAGCGUGACGGCGCGAGCAGGUGCGAAAGCAGGUCAUAGUGAUCCGGUGGUUCUGAAUGGAAGGGCCAUCGCUCAACGGAUAAAAGGUACUCCGGGGAUAACAGGCUGAUACCGCCCAAGAGUUCAUAUCGACGGCGGUGUUUGGCACCUCGAUGUCGGCUCAUCACAUCCUGGGGCUGAAGUAGGUCCCAAGGGUAUGGCUGUUCGCCAUUUAAAGUGGUACGCGAGCUGGGUUUAGAACGUCGUGAGACAGUUCGGUCCCUAUCUGCCGUGGGCGCUGGAGAACUGAGGGGGGCUGCUCCUAGUACGAGAGGACCGGAGUGGACGCAUCACUGGUGUUCGGGUUGUCAUGCCAAUGGCACUGCCCGGUAGCUAAAUGCGGAAGAGAUAAGUGCUGAAAGCAUCUAAGCACGAAACUUGCCCCGAGAUGAGUUCUCCCUGACUCCUUGAGAGUCCUGAAGGAACGUUGAAGACGACGACGUUGAUAGGCCGGGUGUGUAAGCGCAGCGAUGCGUUGAGCUAACCGGUACUAAUGAACCGUGAGGCUUAACCUU
rnacentral:rRNA from 1 species